AUGUACCUAAGUGUGUUCAUAUAUAGGAUAAUAUCAGACAUGACUUCUUUCCUUGUUGACUAUGAUUUUAAUGCUGGCAGUGUUAUACUAGAUAAUCAUUUGUACUUAAGUACAUGCUAUUGUUAAAACACAACCUGUACAUAUUGACUGUGGCUAGGUUAAAAAUGAUAUGCUGUCCCAAAUGCAUUUUAUUACUUGUAAGAGCUGUGUGCAAAGUGCUUGUAUUGAGCCCUAUUGUACAUACAUCUUUAAUGAAAGAUGUUAACAGCUGUUGACAAUUCAAUAAAUAAAAUUUCCUGUUAUCCAGU